rnacentral:rRNA from 1 species
AUGAUUUUUUUUAACUACAUUAAGAAAAUAUUACAACACUGGUAUUAUUUUCUCAAUAUGUAUGAAGAAAUUAAUAAACUCAAUCAAAAUUAUGGUUCCUCAGUGGGCACAGUCGUAACCAAGCUUUUUUUGGUUAUUGUUUGGAGACAUUUAUUAGUACUCCAAUCUCAUGGAAAUGACACGGUGACAAGGUGGUUUUCUUUGGUUGUGUGCACUUUUUAUACAGGGCAAGAAAAUCAAUACGAUAAGUCAUUAGCAAAAAAAAUCAAUAUGAUAAGUGUGCUAUCUUACAAAAAUAUAUCCUCAAGGCUCUUUCUAGAGCACGAGUUAAAUGUUUUUAGGUUCAGUUUUAGUUUCCCACGGAACCAAACUGUUCCUAAAAAAUAA